rnacentral:antisense_RNA from 1 species
GCCGCCAGGGGCGCUCGUCUCCAGGGCGCCUGAGCCUGCUCGGGGCUGGAGCCGGCGGGCGGAGCCCGGGGCGGGGCCCGGCUGAACCGAGGACGACUGUCCGACGGAGGAAAGCCCUUCCUCCCCGCUACCCCAAGCCCCAGAAGACAGACUUGCAGACAUCUCCUCCAGCGGAAAGAUACACAGACCCUCCUCCCCACCAGGAGCCAGAUGUACAAACUCCCCCAAAGGAACAGGCAAACUGGGGCUCAUUCCAUCCACCACGUGCAAGAGGGGAGUGAGUGACCCUGCCAGCCAACAGUUGAGCCAGACUGCAUUUUAAGCCCAUGCUCUUUCCUCUCCACCAAGGUCAUACACACCCCCUCAACCCAGAGAGCAAGAACUGUUCACACCAGCCCAUUGCAAACUUUCUUCUAGGGGAGAUGGAGUGUGGGGGAACAGACCUCAAAACAUCAUCUCAAUUUCUGCUGUGUUCCCACUGCCCCCCACUUUUCUGCUUCUGUUCCCAAAAGCUGUAUGCCCAACAGAUCUGGGUGGAGUCCAAGACACCUCAUCCCUGUGUGACCAGGGAGCCACGUGUAUGAGUCUCACCAUGGAGAAAGAACUGUGGUCUCCUCCAAGCCUCUCUUGAGCACCAAAGCCCAGCUCUAGCCCAAGAGCUACCGGA